rnacentral:rRNA from 1 species
CGGAGAGGUGGCCUGAGAUACGGCUCCUUUAUCUGAGGAUGGUAGCAGGCGCGUACAUUACCCAGUCCUAUAUCAGGGAGGUAGUGAGAAGAUAUAACAACGUGAGUAAAAAUCGCGAUUGUAGUGAGGGUAUUCUAAAAAUAACUUCGAGUACGAUUGGAGGGCAAGUCUGGUGACGACACCCGCGGAUAAUUCCAGUUCCCAUAGAGUAUAUUAAAGUUGUUGGAUCUAACAAGCUCGUAAUUGGAUUUCAAGAAAAGCAAGGGGCAUCCCAUCUGCUUUCUACCACUCAUUGACUGUUACUGUGAGAAAAUUAGAGUGUCUCAAGCAGGCAUUUGCAGGAAUACAUUAUAAUGGAAUAACGAAUGUAUCUACAAUUUGGUUGAUUGUACAUUUCGAUUAAUAGGGACAGUUGGGGGAAUUAGUAUUUAAUUGUCAGAGGUGAAAUUCUUGGAUUUAUUAUAGACUAACGUAUGCGACAGCAUUUGCCAAGGAUAUUUUCAUUAAUCAAGAUACGAAAGAUAGGGAAUCAUAGACGAUCAGAUACCGUCGAAGUCCUAUCUAUAAGCUAUGCCGACUAGGGAUUGGAAUGGUCACCACCAUUUCAGUACCGAAUGAGAAAUCACAGUCUUUGCUUUCUGGUGGGAGCUAUGGUCGCAUAGACUGACACAUAAAGAAAUUGACGG